UUAGAAAACUGUUGAAUUGUCAAUGCGCCCAGUAUCGUUUGAAGUCGAUGACAAUCAACAACAAUAUUAGUUGUCAACUCAUUUUUAUUUUUUUUUCUUAUUCACGCACGAGUUUGAAGAAAAUUUGAUUUAUCUGCGAGGUGCUUGCAGUAAGAAUCCUGACUGCAAGAUAUUCGGCUCCUGAAUCCCGUUGGCUGUUGAUACAAAAUUCUGUGCGACGUUGCGAUAAGGAAAAGCAACGCCCACUCUACGGCCAUGGCGGAAACAACCAAAAAAACACCAAGGAGAGAUCAGGAAAAAGAUAAUCCAAAUAAGCCGAACUCGAUUUACGCUAUUGACACGGAUUUGAUCGCUAUGUAAACCCAACAAAC